GGGGCGGUAGCUCAGUUGGUAGAGCGAUGGACUGAAAAUCCAUGUCGUUAGCGGCAGUUCGAUUCUGCCCCGCCCCA
rnacentral:tRNA from 1 species